rnacentral:rRNA from 1 species
UGCAGUGGAGCGACGAACCGGGGCUUGCCCCGGGGCAGAGCCGCGAACGGGUGAGUAACACGUGGGUUACCUGCCCCGAUGACUGGGACAACCCGUCGAAAGACGGGCUAAUACCGGAUGUGCCCCUUGGGGGAAAGGAAGCUUCGGCCUCCGCAUCGGGAUGGGCCCGCGGCGCAUUAGCUUGUUGGUGGGGUAAUGGCUUACCAAGGCGACGAUGCGUAGCUGGUCUGAGAGGACGAUCAGCCACACUGGGACUGAGACACGGCCCAGACUCCUACGGGAGGCAGCAGUGGGGAAUCUUGCACAAUGCGCGAAAGCGUGAUGCAGCAACGCCGCGUGCGGGAAGAAGGCCUUAGGGUUGUAAACCGCUUUCAGUUGGGACGAAGCUUCAGUCGUUAAUAGCGGUUUGGAGUGACGGUACCUUCAGAAGAAGCGCCGGCUAACUACGUGCCAGCAGCCGCGGUAAUACGUAGGGCGCGAGCGUUGUCCGGAAUCAUUGGGCGUAAAGCGCGUGUAGGCGGCUGAGUAAGUCUGCUGUGAAAGUCCAGGGCUCAACCCUG